GACGAACGCUGGCGGCGUGCUUAACACAUGCAAGUCGAACGGAAAGGCCCUGCUUUUGUGGGGUGCUCGAGUGGCGAACGGGUGAGUAACACGUGAGUAACCUGCCCUUGACUUUGGGAUAACUUCAGGAAACUGGGGCUAAUACCGGAUAGGAGCUCCUGCUGCAUGGUGGGGGUUGGAAAGUUUCGGCGGUUGGGGAUGGACUCGCGGCUUAUCAGCUUGUUGGUGGGGUAGUGGCUUACCAAGGCUUUGACGGGUAGCCGGCCUGAGAGGGUGACCGGCCACAUUGGGACUGAGAUACGGGCCGGACUCCUACGGGAGGCAGCAGUGGGGAAUAUUGCACAAUGGGCGGAAGCCUGAUGCAGCAACGCCGCGUGCUGGAUGACGGCCUUCGGGUUGUAAACCGCUUUCGCCUGUGACGAAGCGUGAGUGACGGUAAUGGGUAAAGAAGCACCGGCUAACUACGUG
rnacentral:rRNA from 1 species